GCACGGAUGGCCAAGUGGUCUAAGGCGCCAGACUCAAGCCUUAUCUUACCGCGAGACAGCGGAUUGGGCUUUUGGUACCCGUAUGGGUGCGUGGGUUCAAAUCCCACUUCGUGCA
rnacentral:tRNA from 1 species